CCUACGGGAGGCAGCAGUGAGGAAUAUUGGUCAAUGGACGAGAGUCUGAACCAGCGAAGUAGCGUGAAGGAUGACUGCCCUAUGGGUUGUAAACUUCUUUUAUAUGGGAAUAAAACGUUCCACGUGUGGGAUUUUGUAUGUACCAUAUGAAUAAGGAUCGGCUAACUCCGUUCCAGCAGCAGCGGUAAUACGGAGGAUCCGAGCGUUAUCCGGAUUUAUUGGGUUUAAAGGGAGCGUAGGUGGAUUGUUAAGUCAGUUGUGAAAGUUUGCGGCUCAACCGGAAAAUUGCAGUUGAAACUGGCAGUCUUGAGUACAGUAGAGGUGGGCGGAAUUCGUGGUGUAGCGGUGAAAUGCUUAGAUAUCACGAAGAACUCCGAUUGCGAAGGCAGUUCACUGGACUGCAACUGACACUGAGGCUCGAAAGUGUGGGUAUCAAACAGGAUUAGAUACCCGGGUAGUC
rnacentral:rRNA from 1 species